UUUCCGUAGGUGAACCUGCGGAGGGAUCAUUACUGAGUGAGGGCUUCGGUCCGACCUCCAACCCCAUGUGAACCGAAACCUGUUGCUUCGGGGGCGACCCUGCCUUUCGGCGCGGCGCCCCCGGAGGCUCAUCAAACACUGCAUCAUUGCGUCGGAGUUAAAGUAAAUUAAACAAAACUUUCAACAACGGAUCUCUUGGUUCCAGCAUCGAUGAAGAACGCAGC
rnacentral:misc_RNA from 1 species